rnacentral:rRNA from 1 species
GUCUGGGGCCAUACCACUGUGAAUGUACCCAUUCUCAUCUGUUCUUAGAAACUAAGCAGGAUCAGGCCCAGUACUUACAUGGGAGAAUCCAAAAGAUAGAAUGAAACACACUGCACU